rnacentral:lncRNA from 1 species
GGGUUCGCGUCUGGAAGAAGAAGACUAGUAUGGGCAGUGGGGUCGGGGUACUGUUGGACGCGACUUCUCACUGGGAAGAAGACGUUGUGCGAGUCUCGUUUUGCAGAUUUGUUCGCGGGUCACUUUGGUCUUGAUGAAUUGCUGGGUCAUGGGUCGGUUGGUUGUGGGUGUUGCUGGAAAUGGGUAUUGAAUUGGGAUUGUUGUUGAGCUGUUGUUUGGAA